CACUAGAGGAAGAGACGGCUAACUCUGUGCCAGCAGCCGCGGUAAUACAGAGGUCUCAAGCGUUGUUCGGAAUCACUGGGCGUAAAGGGUGCGUAGGCUGCACGGUAAGUCAGAGGUGAAAUCCCGGAGCUCAACUUCGGAAAUGCCUCCGAUACUGCCGUGCUUGAGGACUGGAGAGGAGAUUGGAAUUCACAGUGGAGCAGUGAAAUGCGUAGAUAUUGUGAGGAACACUAGUGGCGAAGGCGAAUCUCUGGACAGUACCUGACGCUGAGGCACGAAGGCCAGGGGAGCAAACGGGAUUAGAUACCCCGGUAGUCCUGGCAGUAAACGGUGCACGCUUGGUGUGGCGGGAAUCGACCCUGCCGUGCCGGAGCCAACGCGUUAAGCGUGCCGCCUGGGAAGUACGGUCGCAAGAUAAAACUCAAAG
rnacentral:rRNA from 1 species